rnacentral:lncRNA from 1 species
UCAACUGUAGUCCUAAAUUCUAUGAGCCAGCUUAAUGAAAACAAAGAGAAAUUUAUGUGGGCCUACCUAAUAACACUCCAACACAAAUUACUUCAUUGUAUGCAUCUCAGACAUCAAAACGGUCGCGUUCCUGCUAGAAUUAAGCUUGGAUUAAUCAAAAAUAAUAUGAUUUCCCCCUUUCGCUCAUGGAUUUACUUCUCGUUCCACUUGAUGAUCAAGCAC